rnacentral:rRNA from 1 species
GAUGAACGCUGACGGCGUGCCUAAUACAUGCAAGUCGAGCGAACGGACGAGAAGCUUGCUUCUCUGAUGUUAGCGGCGGACGGGUGAGUAACACGUGGAUAACCUACCUAUAAGACUGGGAUAACUUCGGGAGACCGGAGCUAAUACCGGAUAAUAUUUUGAACCGCAUGGUUCAAAAGUGAAAGACGGUCUUGCUGUCACUUAUAGAUGGAUCCGCGCUGCAUUAGCUAGUUGGUAAGGUAACGGCUUACCAAGGCAACGAUGCAUAGCCGACCUGAGAGGGUGAUCGGCCACACUGGAACUGAGACACGGUCCAGACUCCUACGGGAGGCAGCAGUAGGGAAUCUUCCGCAAUGGGCGAAAGCCUGACGGAGCAACGCCGCGUGAGUGAUGAAGGUCUUCGGAUCGUAAAACUCUGUUAUUAGGGAAGAACAUAUGUGUAAGUAACUGUGCACAUCUUGACGGUACCUAAUCAGAAAGCCACGGCUAACUACGUG